GUAGGGAAUAUUGCACAAUGGAGGAAACUCUGAUGCAGCGACGCCGCGUGAGUGAUGAAGGCCUUCGGGUCGUAAAGCUCUGUCGCAGGGGAAUAACACAAUGAAGGUACCCUGUAAGAAAGGAUCGGCUAACUUCGUGCCAGCAGCCGCGGUAAGACGAGGGAUCCUAGCGUUGUUCGGAAUCAUUGGGCGUAAAGCGGAUGUAGGUGGCUAUGUAAGUCAGAUGUGAAAGCCUGGGGCUCAACCCCAGAAGUGCAUUUGAUACUGCGUAGCUUGAGUGUCGGAGAGGUUACUAGAAUUGUUGGUGUAGUGGUGAAAUACGUAGAUAUCAACAGGAAUACCGGAGGCGAAGGCGGGUAACUGGCCGAACACUGACACUGAGAUCCGAAAGCGUGGGGAUCAAACAGGAUUAGAUACCCGUGUAGUCC
rnacentral:rRNA from 1 species